CGGCCUCUGGGACGGCGGUCUGGUGGCGCUGCGGCUGCCGUCGGUACUGGCGGUCGCCGCGGCGGCGGUCGGC
rnacentral:tRNA from 1 species